rnacentral:misc_RNA from 2 species
AACGCACAUUGCGCCCCUUGGUAUUCCGGGGGGCAUGCCUGUUCGAGCGUCAUUAUAACCCCUCAAGCUCAGCUUGGUGUUGGGGCCUGCCAACUGGCAGCCCUUAAAAUCAGUGGCGGCGCCAUCUGGCUCUAAGCGUAGUAAUUUCUCUCGCUAUAGGGUCCCGGUGGAUGCUUGCCAACAACCCCCAAUUUUCUAUGGUUGACCUCGGAUCAGGUAGGGAUACCCGCUGAACUUAA